UGCAAGUUAUGCAAUUGUCAACUUGACCUUGCUUUAUCAGCCAUUACUCGGCCAUUACUAUGGAACCCACUCUCUCCCUUCGUUUUGUAGCCGUUCUCCUUCUAAUUGGUCUUGUCUCAGCUGCUGUAAAUGAUGCUGAAGAAUGGCGGCUCUGGAAAGGCAAAUACGGAAAGACCUACCGCUCAAUCUACGAGGACAACAUGCGCCAGAAGAUAUGGCUCCAGAACAGGGACUACGUGAACGAGCACAACUCAAUGGACAGCUCGUUCCAACUUGAAGUGAACGAAUUCGCUGAUCUGACAGCAGAAGAAUUCUCCUCUAUAUACAAUGGCUACGGCAAAGGGAGGAAUAGGGAAAACCAUGAAAACACAACCAUAUACCGUUAUACCGGUGGGGCAAUACCGGACAGCGUUGACUGGAGGACAAAGGGUCUAGUGACUCCGGUUAAGAAUCAAAAGCAGUGCGGGUCGUGCUGGGCUUUUUCAACAACAGGUUCUCUUGAAGGCGCUCAUGCAAAGAAAACUGGAAAGCUGGUAUCGCUCUCGGAACAAAACCUCGUUGAUUGCGACAAAAAGGAUCACGGUUGUCAGGGUGGACUGAUGACAACUGCUUUUAAAUACAUUGAGGAGAACAAAGGAAUUGAUACCGAGGAGAGCUAUCCGUACAAGGCAAAGAAUGGUCGCUGUGAAUUUAAAAAGGACGAUAUUGGUGCCACUGUGGAACGCCAUGUCUCCAUUCUCACUACCGAUUGUGAGGCACUCAAAAAAGCUGUUGCUGAAAUUGGUCCGAUUUCGGUUGCAAUGGACGCAAGCCAUAGUAGCUUCCAGCUGUACAAGAGCGGCAUAUACGAUCCAAAGAUAUGCUCUUCAAGGAAGCUGGAUCACGGAGUCCUUGUGGUUGGAUAUGGUAAAGAAGAUGGCGAGGAAUACUGGCUUGUGAAGAACAGCUGGGGCAAGAACUGGGGCAUGGAGGGAUACUUUAAAAUCGCCUCAAAGAAAAAUCUUUGUGGUAUAUGUACCUCUGCCUGUUAUCCUGUUGUUUGAAGAGGGAGUACUUCUUACAGCUGCUGCUACAUUUACCCUCCUCUUCUAUACUUGGUAUUUAUAGUAAACUAAACAAACUCUCCUUUUCCUACAUGCUACUAUAGUUCAGCUAAUUUGAUUAUUAUUAGGCUAAUUGUUUUUAUUUAUUGCCAGCUGUUUUGACUUAAGUCUCACCAUUCCUUUGUAUCAUAGUUUUGUCUUUUGUUAAUGAAAAUGAAUUUUGCCAAGUUGAAUUGCAGCUAUAGCU